ACCCAAAUAGCUCAGUUGGGAGAGCGUUAGGCUAUAGAUCGAAAAGUCCCUGGUUCGAUCCCCGGAUUCGGCA
rnacentral:tRNA from 1 species